AGGACUAGGGCUCUGCUACAGGCAAUGACCCAUAUUUUCAGCAAUAAACAUACAUUAUAACAAACAAUCAACGUCAUAACCAUAAUACAUAAAGUGCCAUUAGGUUCUGAGCUACCGACAAGCUUGAAACCUACCAAACUUAAACAUGAACAGUAUUAACCCCUUCCUAACCAACAGAAUAACUACCCUGUACUUAACCAAGAGCCUGUUUUCCCCCUAAACCUUAGCUCACUAACCCUGCCGCUGUGACAAAGCGAGGCAUAACCCUUGCAAACCCC